rnacentral:rRNA from 1 species
AACAAUAUUUCAGUAUAAAUAAAUAUAUAUGUGAAUGGAUAAGUCGAUUUAAUAAUUAUAGAAAAAUUACCUAAGGGAUAACAGCAUAAUUUUAAUUAAUAAGCUUGUGACCUCGAUGUUGGACUAGGUACUAUUAAGGCUAAUCGUUUUAAUAUAAUAUGUUCUGUUCGAACUUUACUACCUACAUGAUCUGAGUUCAAACCGGAGCUC